UACGUAAGGUGCAAGCGUUGCUCGGAAUCACUGGGCGUAAAGGGUGCGUAGGCGGCCGCGCAAGUCUGGCGUGAAAGCCCCGGGCUCAGCCCGGGAAGGGCGCUAGAAACUGCGAGGCUCGAGUGCCGGAGGGGAGAGUGGAAUUCCCAGUGUAGCGGUGAAAUGCGUAGAUAUUGGGAAGAACACCGGAGGCGAAGGCGGCUCACUGGGGCUUUUCUGACGCUGAGGAACGAAAGCCAGGGGAGCGAACGGG
rnacentral:rRNA from 1 species